rnacentral:pre_miRNA from 1 species
GCACUACUCCCUCCGUCCGGAAAUACUUGUCCUAAAAAUGAACGUAUCUAGACUUAUUUUAAUCAUAGAUACGUUCAUUAUAUCCAUUUCUAGGACAAGUAUUUUCGGACGGAGGGAGUAGUUU